UACGAGCGGCCCAAACGUUAUUCGGAAUUACUGGGCUUAAAGAGUUCGUAGGCGGCAUUGCAAGUAGGGUGUGAAAGCCCUCGGCUCAACCGAGGAAUUGCGCUCUAAACUGCAGUGCUCGAGGAACCUAGAGGUGAGCAGAACAGAUGGUGGGGCGGUGAAAUGCGUUGAUAUCAUCUGGAAUACCGGAGGCGAAGGCGGCUCACUGGGGGUUUUCUGACGCUGAGGAACGAAAGCCAGGGUAGCGAACGGG
rnacentral:rRNA from 1 species